UUGACCAUGGGCAGAUCCUGAGUGUACAUUUCACCAGCUAAAUUCAGGCUCCCUUUCUGCCAGGUGACUGUUUCACAUCUCUCUCCUCAAACUGCACCCCCGGCCCCGCACUCCCUCCCCGACCCUCGCUCCCCACUGAUGACCACACUCCCCAUUCCACUAAGAAAACAGAAGCAACACAGAACUUCCACGAGCUUCCAUUGCUCCUUCCACCCAGCCCUCAUCUGUGCCCCCAGAUUCCGCCUGUUUUCUGGGGCUACAGGAGAAUCAGCUCUGUGCUCUUGGCUGAGGUCAAGCCCUCUGCUUGUGCACAAAACCCCAGCCGCUCUAGGACAUCCCUCCAGCAACUGUCCUCAUCUUUCCUGACCUUGGGAUAGAAAAGGCCAAGCCCUUCACCAGUCAUUCUUGGAUACCUCCCCAGUCACUUGCUGCAGUAGAAGCAGUGACUGAUGAGGGUGACAUGUACUCAACAUUUGGUGUUACGACAUAAAAUGGGUUGCUGCGAGAAACAAUAGCGUAUGUACUCCUGGACUGAUUUUGUUAUCUCACAGCUGUCCUUCAGCCUGUAUUCUCUACUUGCCUGAACUGCAACCCCAACCUGGCAUUCCUCAUGCUCCCUAGAUCUAUUUUACCACAUAGCACAUAACUGUAUCUGAGGCACUAGCUGUUUAGUUUGUUUUGCUUACUGUUCAUCUCUUUCCACUGGCAUAUAAGCUCCACGAGGGCAAGGAUUUCGGCAUAUUUGUCCAUUUCAUUCACUGCUUUACUCCCAGAGUCUAACACAGAGCCUGGGCCACAGGACUUGCUCCAAAAAUAUUUGUUGAAUUAAUGAGGUCCCAGACUUGCCAUUUCUGAUCUGUGUGAUCUUGACAAAUUACUUACCCUCUUAAAAUCUCACUUUCAUCAUUUUUAAGAUGGGAGUGCUGAUAGUACUCACUACGUGGGAUUGUGGUGAGGAUUAAAUGACAUAAAAUGUGUUCAACAUUUUAGCACAUUUUCUGGUUUGAAGUACUCAACGAACGGUAUAUAUUCUAUGAUUAAUUCGAAUCAUAUCCAUUAGCAUCCAGGUUUACCUUGAGUGUAUUCAGCUACCGAUAGGUGCUGGUUUGGACAUUCAGUAGACUGGCAUGAAAAAGAAAAAUAAGAUGUCUACAUAUGUGCUUUCCUUCUACUACUGAAGACUAUUUAAAAACUAACCUUCACUUAAAAAAUACUGAACAUACAACUAAGUAACAUUAAUGUCUAGGUCUAGGUUACUAAGUUCUCAGUAAAAAUGAUGUUUAGUAAGGAAACGAUGUCAGUCAGCCUGCAGCUCAUAUUGAUAAGCCAUCCAAAAUUGGUCCCAUAGGUGAUGACAUCUAGACCUCACUUCUUCCGCUACCUGUGCUCUCUUCCCCCUCUUCUCUUUCCUCUGUUGUCACAAAGCCAGCUACUGCCAGGAUCCCCCCUCCCCAUCGCUCUGCAGUCCAGGGUGGGGUCUCUGUUAGCAUGAGGAAACGUGAAAGGAAAUGUAUCUCUGUGUACCUUUAUUUUCCCUCCAGGGCUUAAAUGGAAAAAGAGAGAAGGUGGAGUCCCUUUUGCCAUUGUAACUGGAAUUAAAAACCUUAAAAAACUCAAGUUGGAGCUCUGAGUGCAUUUUCCCACAAAAACCAUGUUAUAUAUAGUGGUUUGGUUCUAUGGUACUAUUAAUAAGACAGAAUACUUCAGCUAUGAUUUCUGGGCUGGCCUGGGAAACCACUAAAUAUGACAUAGUUUCAGUGAAAAAGUGUGUUCAGGGUUCCCAGCAAUGAGUUUUACAAACCCACAAUCAGAACACAACCCAUCUGAAAGCUGAGGGCCGCCUACUUCGCAGUAGGUUUGACAGCCUCACAAAGGCAUCCGAAUGUCAUAGACGUCAACGCCAAGCUUAAGAGUCUCCUGCGUGGCGCUCCAGCAGUACUUCAUCUCUGUUUGCCUGAUCCCCGUUCUCUAAUGUGGCGGGCCUACCUCACACAAUUUUGUGAGAACUGAAGCACCUGGUUAGCAAUAACUAUUCAACAAAGGUUAGCUCUCUUCUCUCCCAUUCAUUGGUGAAAUUUCAGUGUCUGUACUUUUUACUUGGUUUCAUGCAUUUUCUUAUGAAUCUAUUUUUAACACUUCUAUAUGAAAAAAAUACAAAGCUUUUGCCAGUAGAAACCAGAAAACGGUUAUUGCUCAUUUCUUCUGGCUGACACACCUUGUCUGCAAAUGGCAGCUUCUCCCGCAGCAGGAAAUCUUUUCCAUCAAAUAAGCCAUUACGCCUUCCAACAGUCUCUGCCAAACUGAAAAUCACCAUCUUCACUUACCAUAGUGGCAGAGCUUUGGCAGUUGGGCUAACGCGCAUUGAGCAGGGAGACUCGGCACUGACAUUAGCUAACCAUCCCACAUUUCCAUCUUGUUUCCUCGUAGUCAUUAUCCAAAAUACACAAGGAAGAGAGGCUCACCUAACUGGAAUGGCUUAUGUUACCAAUUACGGUCAACCCUAAAGCACAUAACCAGGAAGGCAGCUAACACUGACUGAGCAGGAAGAAAUCUGUGCCCUAAGUAGUCCACGGAGUUAGGCAGAGAAUUGUACCUGCCACCAGUUUCAAAAUGCUCUUUCUCCUUCCCUGACACCUCAGGCUCUCCUUAUUUCAUUUUAUCUCCAUGUCUUUUCUACAAGAAUGGGUCACUGUUUUCUAUUCAUUAAAACUCUUUGAGCCAGGCACAGUGGCUCACGCCUAUAAUCCAAGCUACUCAGGAGGCUGAGGCACGAGAAUCGCUUGAACCUGGGAGGCAGAGGCUGCAGUGAGCCCAGAUCAUGCCACUGCACUCCAGCCUGGGUGACAGAGCGAGACUAUGUCUCAAAAAAACAACAAAACAAACAAAAAACUCUUUGGAUGAAACAUUUCUCAUCUACCAUCUCUAAUUCUUUAUCCUCUCUUAAAAUUUGAUAACAGAGCUUCCCUGUUUUUUAAAAAAAAUCCCUUAAAUUCGUGCAAUCUCAAAGAGAUCUAGGGCUAAACACCUGGGAGACUGAACUAAGAAGAAAUGAGUGUCUCAAUUUCCUCUCUGUAUGGCCCUGGAACAAAUCCUCACCUUCUCUGCAGCUUUUUCUCAAAUCUGGUCGAGUUCCAUUUCUUGUAUGGUGUCUCAAAAGAACAUUGCUAGAAUGAGCCAAUACGUAUAUAGUACCAGGAGCACUUUCAAAGAACGCUUUAGUGCUCUUUUAAUGUAUUAUUUUUAAAAAGUAUAUGGUUAGUGUCUAUUUUCCCCAUUUACUUGUAGAAGAUUAUUUGUAAAAUACUGAAUGGGAGGCAAUUUUUGAAGUAUAGUGAAUUGUGAUUACUCAGAGUUUAUCCGGAUCUCUUGAAAUAAGUGCUGAAAAAGUGCCAUACGUUUUGAUACAAAAUUGUUGAAGUGGAAAAUAUACACAAAAGAAAAUGUCGAAUACACCUUUUUAUAGUUCCCAAUGAUUGUGAAAGAAAUCUGGAAAGGGGGGAAAUCAACAAUUGUUUGGACAAUUAAGAACUGUUGGAACACGCUAAUAAUUUCCCCUUGAAAUAAUGACUUCAGCACCUUGAGCAGUAUGAACUCCACCAACAUUGCCAGGAAAUGCUUUAUAUGUUUCAGGAAUAAUUAGUUGCUUCAAAUAUAACAGAGUCAAAGGUUUACUGUAACCUAGGGAAAAUAAUAUUUUGCAAAAAUGCAAAAAUGCAACUACCCUCAAAGGUAGUCCAAAUAAUAUAGUUCAUGAGCAAAGUUUUAAAGGCUUAAGACAAUAGAGUAAAAUUCUGAAGAUCAAGUACAAUGCAAGGUGGUGACAUUUAAUUUUUUUUUUAUUUUUAGAUGGAGUCUCGCUCUGACACCCAGGCUGGAGUGCAGUGGUGUAAUCUUGGCUCACUGCAACUUCCACCUGCUGGGUUCAAGUGAUUCUCCUGCCUCAGCCUCCUGAGUAGCUGGGGUUAUAGGCACACACCACCACACCUGGCUAAUUUUUGUAUUUUUAGUAGAGACCGGGUUUCACCACGUUGGUCAGGCUGGUCUCGAACUCCUGACCUCGUGAUCUGCCCGCCUCGGCCUCCCAAAGUGCUAGGAUUACAGGUGUGAGUCUCUAUGCCCGGCCUAUUGUUACCUUUAAAAAUAUUAAAAGUCAACUAAAAACUAUCUAGAGCUCAUAAGGAUCUACUGAAGCAACACUAAGGCUACUAUGAGUAGGACACCUGUUUAUUGUUUACUAAGUCAGUGGUCCUCACCUGGGACAGACUGGGCCUGUCGUUAUUACAUUAUUUAAAGCAGGUGAGCUACCACACCAUCCCAGCUAUCAGAAUUUUAUGAUUCAUGAAUUCCAACAAUCACAAUAAAAAUAAAGCUGCAUUAUUUCCAACCAUCCCCCAUGCUCCUCACACAGGGCACCAAGUUUUCACAUAGCCAGAGAUGGUGUGGAUGUUGGCAUAUUUUGCUACUUGCUGUACAUGCCCAGUUUCUUAAUGAAUGCGGUCACUGGGAAACCAACCCCACUCCUUUUUCUAAUGACAAAGUACAAGAAUCAGUAAAAAAAAUAAGUAAAGCUUAGGGAUUGGGGGAAAAACUGUUUAUUAUCUAGCUCUUGUCUAUCUCGUAUGUUUAUGGUUCAAGGAUGUGCUAUUUAUUAACUGCCUCCCUCAAGUUAUAAAUCUUACACUCACACAAAGGCAUAGGGGUACAUUAGCUUCAAACUAUCUCCUAUAUCCAUUGAUCUAAACAGACAUGGGGAAAAUCAAAUUAACUCAAACCUCUUAUCUAAAUCAAAGUCUGCCAAGUCUGAAGGGGGAAAAAAAUUGUUUUGGGGGGAUGUGAAAAAAAAAAUAGCAAGAAAGAUGCUGUCUUUCUAGAAGCAACCCAAACCCAAAUCCCUGGACAAUUCUCUGGCUAUCUUUUCCUUAGGUAGUGGGAGUUAAGGAGACAGUCCUGACAGGAGCCUGCAUAACACAAAUCAAGAAAUUAUCCUCACAGCCAAGGCUGGUGACACCAUUCCUUAACCUGGCGGAGGGGAGCUUUUCAAGGCUUAUGAACCAGGAUCAUAUUAUUCCAUGUCUCUGAAGCUUGGGUCGGUCCCUCUGUCCUUUUCUCGUGCUAGUUUCUCUGUGAUUACGCAUUAAAAUGUAGAGCCAGUCAUCUCUGGCUCCUAGAGACUCCCAGGUUGAUGAAUGCACACCCGUCCUGGAAUUUCGCCUGAAGACCAGUAACGGGACUCGGUGUGCCCGGGCCUGUUCGGGGCACGCAGCGCAAGACCCGGCUCCGCAGGGUGGGAAGAUGCCCGAGCCCAGGGAGACCCGACCGAGACGCCCCCUCUCCUGCCCAGCGCGCCCCCUUCCGUCCCCAGCAAGAGAGCAAAGGUCCCAAGCCUCAAUCCGGGCUCAAGCGACCAAACCCCUUUCUAGAGUCUGGACCACUCACCAUUCGGGACAGAGCUGCCCCCAAAAGUUAAAAUGAGACAAACGGGCGGGAAGCCCCCAGCCCCGGGGCGGGGCCGGCCUAGAGCCCUGCGCUCCAGCUUUGGGAGCUCACCCAGGCCCGGGGAGGGCCAGCCUGGCUGCUCACGGGACCCUCCCUUGUUGGCCCGGCCGUGGCCGGGAACCCACGCGUGGCCGGUGCGCGCUGCCAGUGCUGCAGCUGAGGUUCGGGUUCGGCCCGCGCCCGGCGUGAACAAAGCGGCUGCCAAGGCCUGGGACUGAGGGGACUGAGCCGCCGGCUCCACGCCGCCCCCAGGCCCAGAAGAAACACCGACUGCGGGCCGGGCACAGCACCCGGCCGGGGAAAGGACGCCCCGAGUUACGCGCAAACUUCCUUUGAAUGGCGCCCAGACUAAAGAGUGUCCAAUAAACGCGACUCCAGGGCAGCGUUUUAGGGGAAAGCAAUAAAAACUCACGGUAGAAUGGAAGCUGCCCUGAAGGAAUGGAACUGCGAGACUGGGGCUGGGACUGGGGCUGUGGGGAGGGAAAGCACAUACAGUGUAAAAACGAUUGUGUGACAUUAAAUCGAAAAGCACAAAUCA